rnacentral:rRNA from 1 species
ACGACCAUAUCACGUUGAAACACUGGUUCUCGUACGAUCACCGAAGUUAAGCAACGUCGAGCCUGGUCAGUACCUAGAUGGGUGACCGCUUGGGAAUACCAGGUACUGUAA